rnacentral:snRNA from 1 species
CUCUCUGCACAGUGGCCCCAUCACAGUCAGUGAGGUUUACCCGAGGCACGAUUAUUGCUCAUUGAAAACUUCCCAAUACCACAAGAUAACUUGCAAUAGAGCUGGCACUGGCCA